rnacentral:rRNA from 1 species
UACGUAGGGGGCAAGCGUUGUCCGGAAUCAUUGGGCGUAAAGAGCGCGUAGGCGGCCCUGUAAGUCCGCUGUGAAAGUCAAGGGCUCAACCCUUGAAUGCCGGUGGAUACUGCAGGGCUAGAGUCCGGAAGAGGCGAGUGGAAUUCCUGGUGUAGCGGUGAAAUGCGCAGAUAUCGGGAAGAACACCCGUGGCGAAGGCGGUUCUCUGGGACGGUACUGACGCUGAGACGCGAAAGCGUGGGGAGCGAACAGG